rnacentral:tRNA from 1 species
AAGAAAGUGGCAGAGUGGUCUUGUGUUUGGCUUGAAACCAAACUACGGGGGUUCAAUUCCCUCCUUUCUGG